rnacentral:lncRNA from 1 species
AUUCUUUUUUUUUUUUUUCUUUCAGCCAUUUCUUUUUAUUUACAGUUUGUGUUCAAUGCAAAUCAAUUCCAUAAGAAGUUACUAUGAAUCAAAGCGUAAAUACACAAACACAAUAUACAAUCCAAAAUAGAUGUACAGCAUUCUGGAAUAAAGCAAAAGAGUGUUCAUUCACACACACAGUAGCUUCAAAACGGUUCGAUCUGUUUGUUCUCAUGUAGUUUUGUAAAGAUGGAAAAAAAGGACUUUGGUCAUCAAGACUACUGUGGCCAUAUUAGAUUACUGGAACAUCUAAGCAUCAGUGUGUGACCAUGCGAACAAAAGACUUCGGGGAGUGUCUAUUUUUAAAAAGGUUUCUGUGUUUCGAGGCAGUUGUAAAAGAUUUACUGCAGAAUCAAGCCCACUUUUAGGCUUAGGACCAGGUUCUAACUAUCUAAAAAUAUUGACUGAUAACAAAAAUGCUCUUGUUGAAUGGAAAUAGGUGAUAGGAAAUGCCUACCAUUUGACUCAAUAUGGAUAAUCAAGAGUUGCUCAGGCUGCUUGGAUCUGGGGGUAGAUUCUCAUUCAUCAUUGCCCUGGCACAUGUCAAUUACUACAUAAAAGGUCAAACGCAAUGUCAAAUCCAAAGCCUCAGGAGGAAAGUGAGUUCAGUUCCCAAGAGAACAGCAAUAGCUCAACAAUGUAAAACUUCAUCUAGAGUAUAUCGGCAUUAAAUAAGUGCUGCCGAAACAAUACGUUGAGGAAUUACAGUAACACCUGGAAGUUCCUUCUCAUGUACAUAUAAAUAGAAUCAUGGAAGCUUUUUAUAUUACCUGUUUUAUGGCCUUAUAGAAUUAAUGAACCAAAUGAAAACUGAAUCUCCAUUCCACAAUCACAUCCUUUAUUUCUAUUCUUAUUUUCAAGGUAGUAUUAAGUGUCCAUAUUUCUCAAGCCACAUUCAAGGAAAUCAUGUCUUAACUAUUUUGGAUGUUGCCUCUCCUUCAUCUUGUACAUGAAACUCCAGCAGAUUUAAUAUUGGCAUCCAUCAUCUAGUCAAACCUCUCACAUGUUCUUCAAAUCAAUCAAAUUUGGGAUUCUCAACAUUUUCUGUGUCAAUAAAAGGUGUGGAAUUAG